ACGUAGGGGGCGAGCGUUAUUCGGAAUUACUGGGCGUAAAGGGCAUGUAGGCGGCCCUUCAAGUCGCGUGUCAAAGUCCAGUGCUCAACGCUGGGAGUGCGCGCGAUACUGGCGGGCUUGAGUGUUGGAGAGGUGGGUAGAAUUCCCGGUGUAGCGGUAAAAUGCGUAGAGAUCUGGAGGAAUACCGGCGGCGCAGGCGGCCCCCUAGACGGUGUCUGACGCUAAGAUGCGAAAGCGUGGGGAGCAAACAG
rnacentral:rRNA from 1 species